CACGUAGUUAGCCGGAGCUUCCUCCUUAGGUACUGUCUUUUUUCUUCCCUAACGACAAUAGUUUACAAUCCGAAAACCUUCUUCCUAUACGCGGCGUCACUGCGUCAGAGUUUCCUCCAUUGCGCAAUAUUCCCGACUGCUGCCUCCCGUAGGAGUCUGGGCCGUAUCUCAGUCCCAAUGUGGCCGUUCAACCUCUCAGUCCGGCUACUGAUCGUUGACUUGGUAGGCCGUUACCCCACCAACUAUCUAAUCAGACGCAAGCCCAUCUGUUAGCGGAUUGCUCCUUUCCCACUAAUAUCAUGUGAUAUCUAUGGCAUAUGCGGUAUUAGCAAUGAUUUCUCAUUGUUAUUCCCCUCUAACAGGCAGGUUGCUUACGUGUUACUCACCAGUCCGCCACUAACCGCUUCAAUUUGUAAACAAAUUGAUUAAGUCCGUUCGACUUGCAUGUCUUAUGUGCGCCGCCAGCGUUAUCCUGAGCCAGGAUCAAACUC
rnacentral:rRNA from 1 species